UGGUGGAGUGAUUUGUCUGGUUAAUUCCGAUAACGAACGAGACCUUAACCUACUAACUAGUCACGGUGACGCUUAGUCACUGGCGGACUUCUUAGAGGGACAACGUGUGUUGAGCACGAGGAAGUUUGAGGCAAUAACA
rnacentral:rRNA from 1 species